rnacentral:rRNA from 1 species
ACAUUGCACGCUGGGCUGCAUGUGUUACAACUGCAACUCAAAACGGCAGCCCCACCCUUCGACUCUGGUGGCCAGUGGGGAACGGGUGACUAAAGUAUCGGAACGUACCAUUGAGUGGGGGAUAACGUAGCGGAGGUUACGCUCAUACCGCAUAUUCCCCGAGGGGGAAAGCAUGGGAUCGCACGACCUUGUGCUCUUUGAGCGGCCCAUAUUGCAUUACCUAGUUGGUGAGGUAAAGGCUCACCUGGCGACGAUCUGUCUUGGGUCUGAGAGGAUGAUCCGCCCCACUGGAACUGAAACACGGUCCCCACUCCUACAGGAGGCAUGAUUGGGGAAUUUUGGACAAUGGGGGCAACCCUGAUCCCCCCAUGCCGCGUGAUUGAACAACGCCUUCGGGUUGUAAAGCUCUUUCGGCCGGGAGGAAAUCGCAUAGGUUAAUACCCUGUGUGGAUGACAGUACCGGAAUAAGAAGCACCGGCUAACUACGUGCCAGAAGCUUG